UACGUAGGUGGCAAGCGUUGUCCGGAUUUACUGGGCGUAAAGGAUGCGUAGGCGGACAUUUAAGUCAGAUGUGAAAUACCCGAGCUUAACUUGGGUGCUGCAUUUGAAACUGGGUGUCUAGAGUGCAGGAGAGGUAAGUGGAAUUCCUAGUGUAGCGGUGAAAUGCGUAGAGAUUAGGAAGAACACCAGUGGCGAAGGCGGCUCACUGGCCCGGUACUGACGCUGAGGCACGAAAGCGUGGGGAGCAAACAGG
rnacentral:rRNA from 1 species